CAACUUCAGUGCACGUCCCUCAGGAAAUUCACAAGCUUUGGGGAGCAACCUUCAGGCAAGGUCGUAGACAGAAGAGAACCAACCGCUGGGCCGGCCACUGCCGAGGGCCACUCAGAGGGAACGCAAGGGGGUUAGGGAUGGAAGGCUGGCAGAGGAGAGAAAAGAUAGAAAAGAUUUGAAUGCCACCAGCAAUCGCCUCGGGCACAUUUUCCUGCCUUAGCUGUGGGAGUCAGCCCGGCCGAACAAGACGGGUCGCGUAGCAAAGGAAGGUCGAGGCGCUGCCGCCGCAAUCAAGUUCGAGUCUCAGAGCCAGCGGAUAAAUGUGAGCACGUCUCCCUCUAGUGGGCAGAGCGCGUCACCUUCCACCCGCAAAGACGGCCGCAUCUGGGUCAGGCCGAGCUUCGGAGGAGCCAGAUUUCAAACAUCUUGAAGACAGGAACAAAAUAUUUCAAAAAGGAAAAGACAGAAGGUAUAAUACAAAGGGAUUAGAAAGUCAUUUAUGUCACUAGUGAACUUGAGCCUGAACAACUCCAGAGGAACUAAGAAAAGUCCAUUUCCCACUGUUGACUUGUUCUCCUCUCCUGGAAUCGGCUGGAAGCAAUAUGAACUGGACAGGCUGUGAGCAGAGCCAACAGCACAAAACCACUCUAAGUGGUCUGUAAGAAAAUAUACGUCUGUAUCUUGGGGCCAGGACUCUAAAAUUUCAAAGGGGCAAAAGAGAAAUGAUUCAUGUCUGCAAAUCGAAUAUAUACGGCAGGAGCUGGUUCACAGGCGCAUGACCAAAGCUUGGUUUUUAGGCCUGGUUCCUGGACCUGGAUCCCACGUGUAAGAGCAACACCAGGCGCCUGGCUUGGUCACACAUCAGACGUUGGACAGGAAGUCGAGGUGGUGAAAUCCCUAGCUCUGAAGGUUAGAGGCCUUGAGGGCAGAAGUCAGGAAGGACAUGAUGGGGUCUCUUUCUAGCAUCCCCAGUCUUGGCUUCUACUCCCUUUUCCUUGGCUUCCUUUCUGCACCUCAAAUUGGGCUAUGAUAGGAAAGAGAUGGCCACAUUUUCUGCUAAUGAUGAAGCAAGAGUUCUUAGCCUGAGCUUAGACAGUUCUUUGGUGUCCUUGGAAGAGAACGGACACAAAAUGAGCCCAAAACAUCUGCAUGUUUGUCUGGGUGAAGGAUUUAUGAAUGUCAUAGGAUUCUCUUGGAGGUCUGUGACCCAAAGGAGUUGAACCAUGGCUGCUUUAGGGUCUCUCAGGUCUUCACAGCUCUCCAAACUCUUCCAGAGAAAUCCCAUUUCUUUUAGAGUUUUCUCUCAGAAGGAAUAUUCUUUUGAAUCUAUUCCCUGGCUUACGGGGAUGUUCACAGAGGAGACUUCCCUUGUGUCACAGAUCAGGGACUGUAGACACCAGUGUCUUGGGGAGGAUUCUGUGAAGUGGCUGCAAAGGCUAAGCUACUGGCAGAGAAUGCAGGAUUCCUGGAGAAGCAGAUGCCUGGGAUCCUAAGGAGCCUGAAUAAUUCACUAAACCAAGGGAAACUCCGGAAGCACACAGCAAACUGAGUGACCCCAGAGUAUUCUUUUGACAUAACAGACACAGUAGCUUAAGGAAAGUGUAGGUUAAUGCGUUGACUGAUAAUCAUUAAUAAACAAUGAUAAUUUAUGUCUUUUCAAAUCAAGUUUUCAUCUUGACAGAGGGCAGAAAAAACACUUGCCUUAAUUUAUCUGUAAAUUAUAUGAACCCCUGCUUUGAAAUAGCUGGAGAAAAUGAGUGAUGAGUUUGUCCCUUUGACGAAAGGAACUCACAUCCCAGAACAAAAGAAUGUCACCAAGAUUCCGCUUUCAAAGACAGAGAGUUUACAGUGUUGUUAGAGGUUCUGAGGUUAAAUGCUAAUAGUUAUCUGAGAGUAGCAAGCAAUUUACUUUCCAUGGGACUGAGCUCUAUUCUAGCUGAUAGUAAACUGCUUAUGUUGCUGGGUUACCCAGGGAGCCAACAGUAACAACAGCAGAGUGUGGCCUACACGCUACAGAGACUUCGCUCACUCAAAUAAGAGCCUUUGAAACAUGGGCAUGUUUGUCUUCUCUCGUACUAGACGCCCAAAUCAGCAAUACUGCAUCUUCCUUCCAUUCACCCAGUCUUCUGCGCCAAAUCCGUUAUCUUCUUGGACCAUUGCAUCUCAACGGAGAAGAAAAGUAAAUGUCAGUGAAAACAGAGAAGGAUUUGAGACACUGUAUCUCGUAAGACGCUGCUGCAGAGUGAACGUGACACCCGGGGAAAGGUGCUGCGCGGGUCCUGCCUAAUAUCCACUAUCUCUUCUUCUUCGCAAUCAGACAACCAUUUUGUUUUGAAAUUGUUUUUUAAAACUACAUUUUCCAACUUUCCUCCAACUAGAUAUGAUCAUCUGAUACCAUUCAGGCCACUGAGAUGUAAACACAAUUUGGGGAAAAUUUUCCCAAAAGGUGUUGACUCAGCUGCCCAUGUGCCUUGC